AUUGAACGCUGGCGGCAGGCUUAACACAUGCAAGUCGAGCGGAGAGAGGUAGCUUGCUACCGAUCUUAGCGGCGGACGGGUGAGUAAUGCUUAGGAAUCUGCCUAUUAGUGGGGGACAACAUUUCGAAAGGAAUGCUAAUACCGCAUACGUCCUACGGGAGAAAGCAGGGGAUCUUCGGACCUUGCGCUAAUAGAUGAGCCUAAGUCGGAUUAGCUAGUUGGUGGGGUAAAGGCCUACCAAGGCGACGAUCUGUAGCGGGUCUGAGAGGAUGAACCGCCGCACUGGGACUGAGACACGGCCCAGACUCCAACGGGAGGCAGCAGUGGGGAAUAUUGGACAAUGGGCGCAAGCCUGAUCCAGCCAUGCCGCGUGUGUGAAGAAGGCCUUAUGGUUGUAAAGCACUUUAAGCGAGGAGGAGGCUACUUUAGUUAAUACCUAGAGAUAGUGGACGUUACUCGCAGAAUAAGCACCGGCUAACUCUGUGCCAGCCGCCGCGGUAACAC
rnacentral:rRNA from 1 species